UUGAGAAGUUAUAUUAUUGCUUAUUUUUCUUCAAUCUCAUCAGUCAAGCACACAACUUUCCAGUACACGAAGUAGAGAAAUUUGGAUCGGGACUGAGACAAGGACUUGUGCCUCGUCUGGAGGCUUUCGAGGCAAGGCAAAUGGAAGCCACGAGGCACUUGGAAGCGAGGCAAUUGGAGCCACGUCUACCAUUGCCCGGACCUCAAGAACUAGAGGCUAUCAAAAGAGUCGCCCAACUCCUCGCCACGAUCGGAGAACAGGUGAUUCCAGCAAUCAUCGGUGACAUUCCAACACACAGGCCCACGACUGCGCCACCAAACGUAGUCACAGAAGUGCCAAGUGAUCCUGUUCAAUUCAAUUAAGGAUAUCAGAUUAACUAUAGAAAAGUAUUCCUAUAUAAAUAUUACUUUAUUAUAAUAACAACAAAAUCUAUCGCUUACAUAAUAAAUUAACCAAUAACAUGAUCUUGAAUUAUUAGCUAUAGCACUUGGAAUAUAUUAAAGCACAUCUUUGAC